rnacentral:rRNA from 1 species
GACGAACGCUAGCGGCAGGCUUAAUACAUGCAAGUCGUGGGGCAGCAUGAAGUAGCAAUACUUUGAUGGCGACCGGCAAACGGGUGCGGAACACGUACACAACCUUCCUUUUAGUGGGGAAUAGCCCAGAGAAAUCUGGAUUAAUACCCCGUAACAUAGCGAUGAGGCAUCUCAUUGCUAUUAUAGCUUCGGCGCUAGAUGAUGGGUGUGCGUAUGAUUAGAUAGUUGGCGAGGUAACGGCUCACCAAGUCUACGAUCAUUAGCUGAUGUGAGAGCAUGAUCAGCCACACGGGCACUGAGACACGGGCCCGACUCCUACGGGAGGCAGCAGUAAGGAAUAUUGGUCAAUGGACGAAAGUCUGAACCAGCCAUGCCGCGUGAAGGAUUAAGGUCCUCUGGAUUGUAAACUUCUUUUAUAUGGGACGAAAAAAGGUCUUUCUAGAUCACUUGACGGUACCAUAUGAAUAAGCACCGGCUAACUCCGUGCCAGCCGCCGCUGUAAUAC